rnacentral:rRNA from 1 species
UGAAGCGGCAACAGCUCAAAUUUUGAAAUCUGGCGUCUUUGGCGUCCGAGUAUGUAAUUUGCAGAGGGCGCUUUGGCAUUGGCAGCGGUCCAAGUAACCUUGGAACAGGACGUCACAGAGGGUGAGAAUCCCGUACGUGGUCGCUAGCCUUUACCGUGUAAAGCCCCUUCGACGAGUCGAGUUGUUUGGGAAUGCAGCUCUAAAUGGGAGGUAAAUUUCUUCUAAAGCUAAAUACUGGCCAGAGACCGAUAGCGCACAAGUAGAGUGAUCGAAAGAUGAAAAGCACUUUGGAAAGAGAGUUAAAAAGCACGUGAAAUUGUUGAAAGGGAAGCGCUUGCAGCCAGACUUGCCUGUAGUUGCUCAUCCGGGUUUUUACCCGGUGCACUCUUCUACGGGCAGGCCAGCAUCAGUUUGGGCGGUUGGAUAAAGGUCUCUGUCAUGUACCUCCUCUCGGGGAGAUCUUAUAGGGGAGACGACAUGCAACCAGCCUGGACUGAGGUCCGCGCAUCUGCUAGGAUGCUGGCGUAAUGGCUGUAAGCGGCCCGUCUUGAAACACGGACCAAGGAGUCUAACAUCUAUGCGAGUGUUUGGGUGUCAAGCCCGAACGCGUAAUGAAAGUGAACGGAAGUGGGAACCUUUCGGGGUGCACCAUCGACCGAUCCUGAUGUCUUCGGAUGGAUUUGAGUAAGAACAUAGCUGUUGGGACCCGAAAGAUGGUGAACUAUGCUUGAAUAGGGUGAAGCCAGAGGAAACUCUGGUGGAGGCUCGCAGCGGUUCUGACGUGCAAAUCGA